rnacentral:rRNA from 1 species
CCAGCAGCCGCGGUAAUUCCAGCUCCAAUAGCGUAUAUUAAAGUUGUUGCAGUUAAAAAGCUCGUAGUUGGAUUUUGGUCGAGCCCUGCGGUCCGCCUCACAGCGGUACUGCUAGGGUUCUUCCUUCUUCUCGCUGAACUUCGGUGCGCUUAGUUGUGUGCUGGAGCUAGGCGGGACUUUUACUGUGAGAAAAUUAGAGUGUUCAAAGCAGGCGUUUGCUUGAAUAUUACAGCAUGGAAUAAUGGAAUAGGAUCACGAUCUUAUUUUGUUGGUUUCUAGGAUCGAGAUAAUGAUUAAUAGGGACAGUUGGGGGCAUUAAUAUUUAGAAGUCAGAGGUGAAAUUCUUGGAUUUUCUGAAGAUUAACUUCUGC